rnacentral:rRNA from 1 species
AGAGUUUGAUCAUGGCUCAGAUUGAACGCUGGCGGCGUGCCUAACACAUGCAAGUCGAGCGGUAACGCGGGAGCAAUCCUGGCGACGAGCGGCGAACGGGUGAGUAAUGCUUCGGAAUCUGCCCAAUGAUGGGGAAUAACCAGCCGAAAGGUUGGCUAAUACCGCAUGACAUCCUGUCUUUGGAAAGACGGAGAUCAAAGCCGGGGAUCGCAAGACCUGGCGCUCAGAGAGGGGCCCGCGGCCGAUUAGCUAGUUGGUGAGGUAACGGCUCACCAAGGCGACGAUCGGUAUCCGGCCUGAGAGGGCGGACGGACACACUGGGACUGAGACACGGCCCAGACUCCUACGGGAGGCAGCAGUGGGGAAUUGUUCGCAAUGGGCGCAAGCCUGACGACGCAACGCCGCGUGGAGGAUGAAGAUCUUCGGGUCGUAAACUCCUUUCGAUCGGGAAGAACGUUUUCGGGAUGAACAAUCUCGAGAAGUGACGGUACCGAGAGAAGAAGCCCCGGCUAACUCCGUGCCAGCCGCCGCGGUAAUAC